rnacentral:rRNA from 1 species
AUGACCAGAUCCCACGAGCCAAUCCGAACGGAAGGCGACCCAACCGGUCCCACAUGGCCCAGCUCAAGCAUGUCCCCUGCAGCUUCAGAGACAUCGACAGGACUGCUCCUCGAUUGGCCAACGGAUUUGGGCGACCGGUCUCCCGAACGAUCCCGAGGCGUCCUGCCACGGACAGACUGGCGAGAGGCGCAUGACGACAACGGAGUGGAUAGGAAUCCCUCAGGGCCCGCCCCGCUUUGCGCAGAAAGCACCUGGCUCCCAAAACUCGAGACCGCCGCGUGGCCUUCCAGGAGAGGCCCAGGAACGCUUUUCGUAGCGACCGAUCUGGGCCCUCCCUCUAUCACUGCCAUGCAGCUGGCACCCACGUCACAUCCCGCGGACCGCUAUUGA